rnacentral:rRNA from 1 species
ACUCAAAUGAAUUGACGGGGACCCGCACAAGCAGCGGAGCGUGUGGUUUAAUUCGAGGCUACGCGCAGAACCUUACCAGGGAUUGACAUGACUGUGGUAGUGAAGCGAAAGCGGAACGACCCUUCGGGGAGCAGUCACAGGUGAUGCAUGGCUGUCGUCAGCUCGUGCCGUGAGGUGUUUGGUUAAGUCCACUAACGAGCGCAACCCCUAGCCUCGGUUACACGUGUCUGAGGCGACUGCCGGUAUUAAGCCGGAGGAAGGUGGGGAUGACGUCAAGUCCGCAUGUCCUUUAUAUCCUGGGCUACACACACGCUACAAUGGCCAGUACAGUGGGUCGCGAAGCCGCGAGGCGGAGCCAAUCCUAAAAAGCUGGUCUCAGUUCGGAUUGCAGGCUGCAACCCGCCUGCAUGAAGUCGGAGUUGCUAGUAACCGCAGGACAGCUAUACUGCGGUGAAUACGUUCCCGGGUCUUGUACACACCGCCCGU